UUGUAGAGGUAGACCGAAGAAGUACUGGGGUGAGGUGAUUAGGCGGGACAUGGAACAGUUACAGCUCACCGAGGACAUGACCCUAGAUAGGAAGGGCUGGAAGAUGCGAAUUACGGCAGAGGAUUAGGGCCAGUUCGGGUCGCUAGUAUAGGGAACUCUGUUUUAUAUUCCCUAUGGGUGCCGUAUCUAUGUUAUGUCAUCUGCUGCUGUGCUGUACUAUGUGUUUGUGUGAUAUCUCGUGACUUGAGCCGGGGGUC
rnacentral:lncRNA from 1 species